CUGACAUCCCCGCUGACUCCUGCCCUGCUCCCUUCCCAGGAGAUUCCUCCAGAAGAUGCCCAGUCUCCUAGUCCUGUGCCAACCCGCCUUGACUCCAAUGAAAAGAUCCUGGCCCUUGUGGGAGAGCUGGAGGCUGUGCGGGAGUUCCAGGCAUCCCAUCAGCAGGAGCGAAGAAAGGACCUCCGCAGCUGCCAGGAAUGCCUCAGGUCCUUGAAGGCCAUGCGAGACAACCUGCAGGCCAUCCAGAGCCGUCUCUGGCAAGUGGAGGCCAAGCUGGGCAUUCGGGUUCCUCCCCAGGGGGAAGCGGAAGAGGAACUGGAAGGAGAAGGGUCCCUUGGUGCCCCACCACUCGGAUGAGAACUGGAUAAGAGAUUCCAUGGACAGAUCAUUUGUGAGGUGGCGUGAGUAGAGGAGAAUGGGACACUGUCUAUGGUACGUCAUGCACAACAGCUCUCUGUUGUAGUUCUCCUCGUGCCCUCGCCCUGAGUUGCAAAGACCUUAUGGGGGACUAUCUGAUUGGGCCCCAGCAGUGGAGGGGGUCAUCAUAAAUUUGUGUAUUGGCAUUCUAUAGGAAGAACACACCGCACUGCAAUAAAGCUAAUCUGGAAAUAAAGUGGAAACUGCUCAGCACUUCCAAUAUAGCAAACUCACAGCAACACAGCAAAUAACCCUGUUCAUACAAUUAACAUGUACAGUAGAGUCUCACUUAUCCAAGCCUCGCUUAUCCAAGCCUCUAGAUUAGCCAAGCCAUUUUUAUAGUUUUCAAUAUAUCGUGAUAUUUUGGUGUUAAAUUCGUAAAUACAGUAAUCACAACAUAACAUUACUGCAUAUUGAAUUACUUUUUCUGUCAAAUUUGUUGUAUAACAUGAUGUUUUGGUGCUUAAUUUGUAAAAUCAUAACCUAAUUUGAUGUUUAAUAGGCUUUUCCUUAAUAAAAUAAUAAUAAUAAUAAUAAUAAUAAUAAUAAUAAUAAUAGUAAUAACUUUAUUUUUAUAUCCCCGCCCCAUCUCCCCGAAGGGACUCGGAGCGGCUUACAUGGGGCCAUGCCCGACAACAAUACAAUAACAGCAAUAAAACAAUAAAACAAGGUCAGCAAUAAAACAAUGUCUUAUCAGUAAAAACAUAACAUCAAUGAACAGUUAUAAAAGUCAGCGCACGGCAUAAAAUGGUUAAAAACAGAGCUAAAAACGCGGAGCUGGGCCCAGAGGAAAAACUUCACCGUGGUAGAGGUAGUUACACAAUUUAAAAUCAAUAAAGUGCUAAAUAAUCGUGGCCUGGCAACCUAAUAUCACAUGAGCAGGAAAAUCAACCCUAUAAUGAUUAGCCCUCAAAGGCUUUUUGGAAGAGGCAGGUCUCUUAAUCUCUCCUUAUUAUCCAAGAUAUUCGCUUAUCCAAGCUUCUGCCAGCCCCGUUUAGCUUGGAUAAGUGAGACUCUACUGUAUUAGUAUUGGAGCUCCCUCUAGUGGUUACUCUUGAGCUCUGCAGCCUCUUCACCUAUUACAGUAGAGUCUCACUUAUCCAACAUAAACGGACCCGGCAGAACAUUGGAUAAGCGAAUAUGUUGGAUAAUAAGGAGAGAUUAAGGAGAAGUCUAUUAAACAUCAAAUUAGGUUAUGUUUUUACAAAUUAAGCACCAAAACAUCAUGUUACACAACAAAUUUGACAGAAAAAGUAGUUCAAUAGGCAGUAAUGCUACGUAGUAAUUACUGUAUUUACGAAUUUAGCACCAAAAUAUCACGAUGUAUUGAGAACAUUGACUACAAAAAUGGCUUGGAUUAUCCAGAGGCUUGGAUAAGCGAGGCUUGGAUAAGUGAGACUCUACUGUUUAUAUAAUUACAAUAAUUAUUAUGUCAUAUAUAAUUACUAAUCUAUUAUUACAAUAAUAGGAAUAAUACUAUCAGUAAUAAUAACUGCUUAUGCAUGUUGGAUAAGUGAGACUCUACUGUACUCCCCUAUUUUUUAAUGAUCCCAGAGUGCUCUCUGGUAGCUAAAGACUACACUUCCCAUCAUCUCUCACCCUAGUUAAAGGAGCUGUUGAGCACGAUAAUCUAGCAACAUCCUAUGGGCCACAUGGGAAAUACCACGUGAACACCAAGCACAAAGUAGCGGCAUGCAACAACAUUCUGCAAAAACUUAUUGGCAGCGCAUGGGGUGCAGACUCAAAAUUAAUAAUAAUAAUAUAAUAAUAAUACUUUAUUUUUAUACCCCGCCUCCAUCUCCCCGAAGGGACUCAGUGUGGCUUACAUGGGGCCAAGCCCAAAUAAAACAAUAAAACAUAGAGAAACAUCAAAAUACAAAUACAGUAGAGUUUCACUUAUCCAAGCUAAACAGGUCGACAGAACCUUCGAUAAGCGAAUAUCUUGGAUAAGAAGGAGAGAUUAAGGAAAAGGCCUAUUAAACAUCAAAUUAGGUUACGAUUUUACAAAUGAAGCACCAAAACAUCAUGUUCUACAACAAAUUUGACAGAAAAAAGUAGUUCAAUACGCAGUAAUGUUAUGUUGUAAUUACUGUAUUUACGAAUUUAGCACCAAAAUAUCAUGAUAUAUUGAAAACAUUGACUGCAAAAAUGGCUUGGAUAAUCCAGAAACUUGGAUAAACGAGGCUUGGAUAAGUGAGACUCUACUGUACAGUUAUUAAAAUCCAACAUUCCAAAACAAAAGAAAAGAAAUAUUAUUCAUGUUAAAAGCAUAUUAAAAUGUAGAUUUGGCAGUCC
ensembl:lncRNA